UGAGAAUGGAAGGCGAACCGCAGCUACCUUAUGUUACUCCUGAACCACCAGUAAAAGUAAACAACAACAAAAAAAAAAAAAAAAAAAAAGACCGUGUUAGAAACUUCUACAACGAAAAAUCGUCUGGAUCAAGAGCGUGCUAAAAGCAUAAUUAACACUGGCAUUGCUUUUCCACGCUGGAGGCAACUGUGGGAUUCAAAGGGUCUGAAAAAUGACGCCAUGGUUGCUGUUUUUCUUUUGGACAGAAUACAACUUUAUUGUAAACCACAGAAAAUGAGAUCAGCAAACAGUUCUGUGUUGUGAUUGGACAAAAUCGUCGUUGCCGGAACUGUUCAGCCAAUGAAUGCCCGAGAAUCAGUUGUUUGAAUCUGAGCGCCAGCUGCGCCGCGGGAGAGCUGUCUGUCUGAAGAAGGAAGAGACAGCCUGGCUGCACAGAAGUCCGUGUUCACGCCAAGUGUUAAUGUUUAGGAUCAACUAAAGAAAACCUCAGUUCAACCCAGUCAUCAGGACCAUAUUUCGCUGUGUUCCCACGUCUUCAGAAGAUUCCUACAAGCAACAGACGUGACUAAGAUGUGGCGGUGGCCACUGGUUUAAUGAUGGCUAACAAGAUCAUUGAGAGAAGUGUCCAAAGCCUGGAGUUAUGGAAUUUUCUUCCUUAUGGAUGCCUCCUAAGAUGACUGACAUCUUUCUCAGAGAUAAUGUUAAAACUGUUAUGUAGUGACGGGUAAGGGUGAGUGAAUUGAGACUGAAGAAAACUAAAGUGCACAGUGAUAAUGAACAGUGACAUGUCAUUCUAUGAGAUAUUUGAUGUGAGCAUUUCAUAUAGUUAAAGGUGGGGUAUGCGAUAUCAUGGUAUUGUCAUGGAAUAGAGCGAACAACGACACCGCAAGUAAUGUAACUAACGUUAGCUAGGUUGUGGGUUAGCUUAGCUAGGUUGCAGGUUAGCAAGCUGUCUCUAUAGUUGCUGCUGCGAAGCUAACAGCCAGAGAGGAUGAGACAGUUUCCCAGAGCCAGCAAACCAGCUCCAGACAGCGAUACUCACAACUCAACUGCUACUAUAGCUAACAUCACAACAACAGCAUAUCUUGGCAAGCUAGAAAGUAAGCUGAAUGUCUGUGAGCAAGUAAUGUAACAUUCCCUGACACACAAAUCAUGGCUGGAAUAGUGGUGUGUGGCUAGGUCCCAGCCACUUUGUUUAUUUCCCAUUUACAGAGCCAGGGCUCUAUACAAACACCGGAGUAUUUUUUCAGCGCACACACUGAACGGACAACUAGCAUACUGUGAGGAGAUAUUCCCUGAAUUUGACAAAAAGACGUGUAUUGGAUUAGAAUCGCAUACCCCACCUUCAAAGUCCCAAUCCUUUAAAUUUUUUCAGCACACUUUCCAUCUUUACUGUUACUGCUGAAAAUGCACUAAACAACUGUGUGUAGGCCCCUUUUAAGGACUGUAACAACUGUUUCAGUGUUAGGUUCUGUGAUUGGCCCUUGUGCUUUGUAUUGGGGGGGGGGGGGUUAUACAGAUAAAAAUAUUAAGAACACUUUACCCUAUUAUUUCACCA